rnacentral:rRNA from 1 species
AAAGGCCAAUCAAACCCGGAAAUAGCUGGUUCUCCGCGAAAUCUAUUUAGGUAGAGCGUCGUGUAUUACCAUCGGGGGUAGAGCACUGGAUGGGCUAGGGGGGCGCGAGCCUUACCAAACCUAACCAAACUCCGAAUACCGAUGAGUAGAGCACGGCAGACAGACCAUGGGUGCUAAGGUCCAUGGUCGAAAGGGAAACAGCCCAGACCUCCAGCUAAGGUCCCUAAAUUGUGGCUAAGUGGGAAAGGAUGUGGGAAGGCCAAGACAGCCAGGAGGU